CCUACGGGAGGCAGCAGUGGGGGAUAUUGCACAAUGGGGGGAACCCUGAUGCAGCGACGCCGCGUGGGUGAAGGAGUGCUUCGGCAUGUAAAGCCCUAUCGGCAGGGAAGAAGCAAGACGGUACCUGACUAAGAAGCCCCGACUAACUACGUGCCAGCAGCCGCGGUAAUACGUAGGGGGCGAGCGUUAUCCGGAUUCACUGGGUGUAAAGGGAGCGUAGACGGCCAGGCAAGCCAGGGGUGAAAGCCCGGGGCCCAACCCCGGGACUGCCCUUGGAACUGUGCGGCUAGAGUGCGGGAGGGGCAGGCGGAAUUCCUGGUGUAGCGGGGAAAUGCGUAGAUAUCAGGAGGAACACCGGCGGCGAAGGCGGCCUGCUGGACCGCGACUGACGUUGAGGCUCGAAAGCGUGGGGAGCGAACAGGAGUAGAUACCCUUGUAGUC
rnacentral:rRNA from 1 species